UAAAGCACUUUCAGCGGGGAGGAAGGCGGUGAGGUUAAUAACCUCAUCGAUUGACGUUACCCGCAGAAGAAGCACCGGCUAACUCCGUGCCAGCAGCCGCGGUAAUACGGAGGGUGCAAGCGUUAAUCGGAAUUACUGGGCGUAAAGCGCACGCAGGCGGUCUGUCAAGUCGGAUGUGAAAUCCCCGGGCUCAACCUGGGAACUGCAUUCGAAACUGGCAGGCUAGAGUCUUGUAGAGGGGGGUAGAAUUCCAGGUGUAGCGGUGAAAUGCGUAGAGAUCUGGAGGAAUACCGGUGGCUAAGGCGGCCCCCUGGACAAAGACUGACGCUCAUGUGCGAAAGCGUGGGGAGCAAAC
rnacentral:rRNA from 1 species